rnacentral:lncRNA from 1 species
UUCUAUCGUGCCCCACGACGACAAACCCCCCUGAGAGACCUCCCAGCCAGGUAUAUAUGCGGCUGGGGGGAGAAGGGGGGGUAAGCAAUACCUCCCAGAGCACUCUCUCCCACUUGUGAUUAUCAUCUCUCCUCCUCCAAUCUCCUCUGACUUGACCGUCGGAGGGCCAUCACCACCCUGGUGGUGGUGCAAGGCUUGUUUGCAGGUUCCUUGGCGGAAGGUGGAGCGCAACCAGCACCAACCAAGACAACUCAGGCGGAACCCCGUUCACACCGUCGUGUCAAUCGUUCUCGGUUUGGACCACCAGCAACAAUUAUUGUUGGCGCUAGAGGAAGGGCCGAAUCUCAGAACGAUCGUAAUGGCACGGCGAGGUGGUCGCGGAGCUUCCAAUGCUUCCGGUCGCGGAGCCUCUCGCGCCUCUGGCCGGGAGGCUGCUGCGUCCCCAACACACUCUCAGCAGCAUUCCACCGCUUCUCCUCCCAUUCAGACGGUCGAACCUGCUCAGUUCGACCAGCUAGCCCAGCAGGUUCGCACCCUCGCGGAGGCAGUGCAGAA